AGGCAGGAGAAUCACUUGAAACCAGAGGCAAUGCAAUUGGCUGCAAACAAGUCAGCUUCCCUGGUAGUGGAUGCAGCCCUGUUUGUUGUAUGGGUUGCUCUAAGGGACUUGGGACAUUC
rnacentral:snoRNA from 1 species